UACCCACCGCCGCCGCCGAGCCCAGCACGCGCUCCGAUUUCCCAAUCCCGGCGCCCGGUCGCCGGCUCGCCGCUCCCUCCCCCAGAAGCGUCCCCAAUCCCGGCAUCCCACCUUCCUCAUCCCGGCGCGUCUCGGCCUCCCGUCGGCGACCCUCGGGCCAUCGCGGUGUAGCGCUGCGCGGCCGGCUCCCAUCCCGCCCCGGCGAUUCAUUCCGCUCGUUGCGUCGUCGCCCAUUCCGAGUUCCGCCGCCGCCGCCCGUUCCGAGCUCCUCCGCCGUCGUCUCGGUCGACCGCGGGCCGAAGUCCUGCGACCUGAUCCACCUAACACGCGGGAACUCAUACAUCAGUUCGCCAUCGUUCGUGACUCCGUUCCGAGCUCCGCAAGGUCGCUCCGCUCCCGUCGCCGUCGCCCCCAGGUGCAAGCCGGACUGCCGGGCAACAUCGAUGGUUGAAAAGAUUCUCCAGCUAGCUGCCCAUAUCACCUACAAAAAUCACAUACCCCGUGCACCAAAUUGCUCAGUCCCUCCAAUUUCCCUAUCCAUCCUUCAAUCCCCACGGCCACAGAUCCAUUCCGUCGCAAUCGCUGCACACCGCGUCCACAGAUCAAGAAGCGUAGUGCACAGGAGAUGGAGAAUCAAAUUGGUUUGCUUCUUUUAUUUUCCACGUCUUCUUGGCUGUGAAUCUGGAAGCCCAAAUUUUGGACGAUGCAGGUUGUAGCAGCAGUUGCAUAUGUGCCGCUCGCCGCCGGCGGAUGGGGCCACGUGCAGAGGCGAUGGGAUGGGAAGCGACGUCACCGUGUGCUUCACCGUCAAGGGAGCCUGUACUUGCUGCUGAGUGCAUGAUCCCCUCAAUUCGACCAUCCCUGUCCCAGCGGCCCAGCCGAAUUUGUGCUCCCUGCUCUUGUCCCCUGUUCUUCUUCACUGGAUACAGGUACUUCUAUAUCCUUUUCUUUUGUGAGCUGCUAGCCUGCUACUGCUUGUGUGUUUCUAAUUGCUGCAUUCAGUAUACAUACCUAUCUGGGUGAUCAAAACUCAGUGUAUGAGCUUACAAAUGAUACAAUAUCUCAUGGAUUGUGAUUGUUUCAGUUGGCUGUGCAAUUUAUGAGCUAUUCAGUAUUCACUCAUAGUUAACUGUUGCUGCUGCUGGAACGUUGUAGCAAAAGAUUUAGAACUAUGAUUUAUUACAAAUAUUCUAACUGCUGCUGCUAAGCCACAGUAACACAAUGUUUGCACGUAUUCUUGUUGAUAUAUAUACACACCAACAAUUUAUUCCCUGUUCUUGUGGGUGUCACACCAGACACUGACACAAUGUCAAUUUGCGGGAUUAUAUUGGUUCUCAGCAGGGUUCAAGAGCAUGCGGGAAAGCUGGAGACGUAUGAGCUUCCCAUCUGAUCAGUGCAUGCAGGGAGGGUUCUGAGCUUAGACAUGAUUGUUGUAUAACAGAUUAUGAAUUUUUAUUGAGUGAACAGCACCAUGGUAUCCUGGUACUGAUUCUUGCGUGGACGGGCAACCAUAUACUCUUUUAGCAUAUGGCCAUGUUACUAGCAAACUGUUGUUUUAGCUACUACUUAUUUUUUCUUUAGGGAAACUAUUCAACUGGAACGGAUUGGGAUUUACCAAUGUUGCUAUUCUAUCCAAUCAUGUGUAGACAAUGUAAUGCGUAACCUGUUUAUUCGACUUAAUCUGUCACUAGUUUCAUAUUCUUUUUGUCAGUAUAAAAAAUGUUAGAAAGGAGAAUUUCUUCACUAGUUAACACAUAAUAAUGGGCUAGUGCAGAUAGUAAAGAUUUGUAUUUAGUUUUCUAUGAGCGUAUCCUAUCACAAGCAGCUUUGUCCAUCUUAGUUUAUUUUGAUUUGGUGUUCUUGAUGCUCAGUUUUGUGUGUUUUAAUAGGUUUGUUGAAGUGCAAAGUAAAGAAUGGAUAAAAUAAAGUAGACUAAUUCUUUUACUUCAAUUUCAGCUGUAAGAUUCAUGUGGAAAUCCAUAUAUGCUUUAUUUUUAGUUUAAUGUAGCUAGGUGCCACUAUGUGUCCUACUGAUUCAUAAACCAUUUUGAUAUCUGAGACUUUUUAAAUUGGUUAUGACAAAUGGUCCUGCUUACUUGUUAAUGGACAUGAAGUGCAUCCAGGCACGCUGCCGUUCGACAUCCACUCAUGCAAGAUUUGUUAUCUCAGCCGCUGCCCUGUCUUGCUCGAUGGCCUUUCCAUGUAAUGAGUGAUUUGUUUGCCUAGUUUGAUGCCACCGUCUCGUAGAAGAAAGAGGACCAUUGUGACAGCUCAAUGAAACAUUGUGAGAGCUCAGUUUCAGCUGGCUGCUCAGUGCGGUGUGAUUGUUGAUGAGUUUAUUGCUGCAUGGAGAUCAUCUGAUACAAUCAUCAGAGGGGAUGCAUCGAGCAGGUGCAUUGGAGCAAAUUAGGAUGACUGAUAUCAUUCUCAGCAUAUCGGUGCAUUCGGACGUGCGGGUAAUCUAUCCAGAAGUCUCUUAAUGACUGUCUUCUUUGCAAUGAAAAUUCUGGAAUACUGUGAUGGUGAAGGCUGUGCCUGCCUAAAAGACUAAUAUAGAUCUGGCACGAUCAACUAGGAUGAGGGAUGAGAUGCUGCAUUACCUUACUUUUCACACAGCUAACAUGGUGGAAUACUUAACCGACAAGCUUCUCUAGUUUAGUAUUGAAGGGUUCCCCUUCCAUUUAAAUAUUUAUCUGAAGUAUAAUGUGUGCUAGCUAGAUUAGUGUCCCAGUGCCUUUUUUCAUUGUACAUAUAUACAUGUUACCCUGCUACACAAAUUAACUUGGUGAACAAAUAUGCUGCUAGUAAAGUCAGUCUGUUGUAUU